UGCACGAGAUGAUCUAUCCUCGGCACAAUCCUGAUCCAAGCAACCUGCCUGCAGCUCUAUAAAUCCACGUACCGGUGCUCAUCACUCGCUGAAUAACCAGUAGUACAGGAAGCACAAUUUGUCCCUUGUAGUUGUAGCCAUCUAGCUACUUCUUCACCAAUCAGCUCAUCAGACCGUGACUAGCGCCUGAAGAUGAGCUCCUCCGCGGAAGAGUGCGCCGGCGGCAAGACGUCGUGGCCGGAGGUGGUUGGGCUGAGCAUAAAGGAGGCCAAGAAGGUCAUUCUCAAGGACAAGCCCGACGCCGACAUCGUCGUGCUGCCCGUCGGCUCGCCGGUGACCGAGGAUCUUCGCCCCAACCGUGUCCGCAUCUUCGUCAACACCGUCGCCGAGACGCCCCAUGUGGGCUAGCUAGCUGCAUAGAGCUUUCUUGAUCACAUCAUGCGUACGUGCCAUGGUGUCAUGCCAAGCCAGCUUCUGUAUUGACGUGUGUUCCCUAUUUAUAAAUUAAAUAAGCAAAAGGGCAUGGUUAUUCGUUGAGAUACUGCUA